GAAACCAACAGGGAUUGCCUUAGUAACGGCGAGUGAAGCGGCAACAGCUCAAAUUUGAAUCUGGCCCUCGGGUCCGAAUUGUAAUUUGUAGAGGAUGAUUUUGGUGCGGUAUCUUCCGAGUUCCUUGGAACAGGACGCCUUAGAGGGUGAGAGCCCCGUACGGUUGAAUGCCUAGCCUCUGUAAAUCUCCUUCGACGAGUCGAGUAGUUUGGGAAUGCUGCUCUAAAUGGGAGGUAAAUUUCUUCUAAAGCUAAAUAUUGGCCAGAGACCGAUAGCGCACAAGUAGAGUGAUCGAAAGAUGAAAAGCACUUUGAAAAGAGGGUUAAAUAGCACGUGAAAUUGUUGAAAGGGAAGGAUUUGUGACCAGACUUUUUCUGGGCGGAUCAUCGGGGUUCUCUCCGGUGCACUUUGCCCAGUAAAGGCCAGCAUCGAUUUUCGGCGGCGGAUAAAAGCAGUGGGAAUGUGGCCCCUACGGGGAGUGUUAUAGCCCAUUGUAUAAUACGCUGCUGGGGAUCGAGGUACGCGCUUCUGCAAGGAUGCUGCCGUAAUGGUUAUCAAUCACCCGUCUUGAAACACGGACCAAGGAGUCGAACAUUUAUGCGAGUGUUUGGGUGUUAAACCCUCACGCGUAAUGAAAGUGAACGGAGGUGAGAGCCCGUACGGGUGCAUCAUCGACCGAUCCUGAAGUUUUCGGAUGGAUUUGAGUAAGAGCAUAACUGUUCGGACCCGAAAGAUGGUGAACUAUGCGUGGAUAGGGUGAAGCCAGAGGAAACUCUGGUGGAGGCUCGCAGCGGUUCUGACGUGCAAAUCGAUCGUCAAAUCUGCGCAUGGGGGCGAAAGACUAAUCGAACCAUCUAGUAGCUGGUUACCG
rnacentral:rRNA from 1 species